rnacentral:lncRNA from 1 species
GAGAAUAAUAUAAAUUAGGAUUGUAUUAAGUGAACGGAUUUAACUCAACGGAAUCAAGGAUAUCAUAUGAGGAUUUGAUGCCAUAACCUUUGCAACAAACAUGUCAACCUGUCAGAAGAUAACGUUCAUGGUCUGAACCAGCCAUCUGUUAUUGUACCCGAAAUUAAGAAUCAAAAUUAUUCGUUACAAUAAGAGCGCAGGGAGGACCCCAACUAAUGUCUAAACUAGCGAAAUCGAUAGAGCAACAUACACCCAAAGCCUGAAGCUUCUGCAUAUAGCUAAGAAUACAUAUAACAAUUACAUUACUCAUUUGUCUUACUCUUUCAUGAUAAAAUUUAUUCUGAGCAUGCCAUAAAGCCCAUGUUGUUAAGAGGACGAGUAUACACACCUUGGAACCAUUAAUCUCCAACAAAGAGGAUAACCAGACACCCAACUCACACUGGUUUUGAUCUAUAGGCUACUGUAUGUCGAGACAAGACCAAACAAUCCUGGUCACCCCACAAUCCCGAAAGGCAUGAGCUCCAGAUUCAAUAUCAAGUUGGCAUACUGGACAAACAGCAGUAGAAGCAAUCUGCCUAUUGUAAAGAUUUUGCAUUGUAGGAAUGUGAUUAUUUAAAAAUCAC